rnacentral:rRNA from 1 species
GACGAACGCUGGCGGCGUGCUUAACACAUGCAAGUCGAACGGAAAGGCCCUGCUUGCCGGGUACUCGAGUGGCGAACGGGUGAGUAACACGUGGGUGAUCUGCCCUGCACUUCGGGAUAAGCUUGGGAAACUGGGUCUAAUACCGGAUAGGAGCCAUCUUUAGUGUGGUGGUUGGAAAGUUUUUUCGGUGUAGGAUGAGCUCGCGGCCUAUCAGCUUGUUGGUGGGGUAAUGGCCUACCAAGGCGGCGACGGGUAGCCGGCCUGAGAGGGUGUACGGCCACAUUGGGACUGAGAUACGGCCCAGACUCCUACGGGAGGCAGCAGUGGGGAAUAUUGCACAAUGGGCGCAAGCCUGAUGCAGCGACGCCGCGUGGGGGAUGAAGGCCUUCGGGUUGUAAACGCCUUUCGCUAGGGACGAAGCUUUGUUGUGACGGUACCUAGAUAAGAAGCACCGGCGAACUACGG